UGAAUACUCCCUCUGUCCAAAAAUACUUGUCAUAAAAAUGGAUACAAAUGGAUGUAUCUACAACUAAAAUACGUCUAGAUACACCCAUUCCGUGGACAAGUAUUUCCGGACAGAGGGAGUACAAA
rfam:Triticum aestivum genome assembly, contig: Triticum_aestivum_CS42_TGACv1_scaffold_643916_T_6BS-0.055457_5DL-0.052807